GACAUCACGUCGUCUGUCCGCCAGCCCCUCUUGUGCCUCCAGUAACUCCCACAGAAACUACUCCUUCCGCAAGGGCUCUGUGUGGUCAGUGCGGUCAGUGGACAGUGCAGAUGAUGAGAACAUGACAGAACUCACACCAACACAUCACAUGCUGCAGCCACCCCAGUCUAUUUUCCCACCAUGCAUCUGCGCUAUUGUGUUGCCCAUUGUGCACCUGAUGGAAGAUGGAGGAGUUCGCUAAGAUGGAGUUGCAGUAUGUGCUGUUGCUCAGCAGGUCUUGUGGAACUGCCUGAUUGAAGAUCCAGCCUUGGUCCUUAGACAUUUCUUGGAGAAACUCACAGUCAGUAAUAAACAGGUAAGAUCACUAAAUAAAUCACUAUUUUAGAGAACAAAAGAUGAGCGUGUGCUGUUAUAUGAUAAAAAAUAUGUUAUGGUUGUUCUCAGGAUGAGUUCAUGUACAUGCUGAGGAAACUGCUUCUUAACAUUGGGGAUUUGCCUGCACAGACC